CUAUACAUGCAGUCGAGCGAACAGAUAAGGAGCUUGCUCCUUUGACGUUAGCGGCGGACGGGUGAGUAACACGUGGGUAACCUACCUAUAAGACUGGAAUAACUCCGGGAAACCGGGGCUAAUGCCGGAUAACAUUUAGAACCGCAUGGUUCUAAAGUGAAAGAUGGUUUUGCUAUCACUUAUAGAUGGACCCGCGCCGUAUUAGCUAGUUGGUAAGGUAACGGCUUACCAAGGCAACGAUACGUAGCCGACCUGAGAGGGUGAUCGGCCACACUGGAACUGAGACACGGUCCAGACUCCUACGGGAGGCAGCAGUAGGGAAUCUUCCGCAAUGGGCGAAAGCCUGACGGAGCAACGCCGCGUGAGUGAUGAAGGUCUUCGGAUCGUAAAACUCUGUUAUUAGGGAAGAACAAAUGUGUAAGUAACUGUGCACGUCUUGACGGUACCUAAUCAGAAAGCCACGGCUAACUACGUGCCAGCAGCGGCGGGUAAUAAA
rnacentral:rRNA from 1 species